GUGAUAAGUGCAGAGCCACCAGGAUGAUGAUUCUUGGGGGUGCGGGGAGCAGCUGGUGAGGAUCUGGGAGGGGAUGUGUGGGGGUUCCCUCACACCCCCCCCCAGCAGACUCUCAGUGAACUGCAUACCUGAGGAGUUGCUUGCUGGCAGCCUUUCAAAGGCCUAUGACGAUAACCCACAAGCAUGCGCCUGGGCUAAGAUCGUCAUGUGGGUGAAGGCAGUCUGAGAUACAGACACAUCUUGGCAGCAUAUUCUGUGCCAAGGAGCAGUCCCAGAGCUGUCAGCAGGAAGAGGCUGAGGAAGCAGGCAAAAAGAUCCAGGUCUCUCAGAGGUGCGUACAACAGGUUUGCUGCCUCCCAUCUGGUCCUCACCAUCCAGGAAGCUCAGUAGUCCACACAGAUCCACAUCCCAUGCAUGCAGAGAUAGACUUGCCAUGCCAUGGAGACUACAGUGCCUGGAAUACCAGCCUCCUGUCCUUUUUCCUGGGUCUUGCUUGGUUUGGUCAUACUAUGUUCUUCCUGAUGAGACUUUUGGGCUUCUGUGCACCCUGUAGCUGUGGUCCCUCAAGGCUCUGGUUUCCCACUCAAGGCACUACCUCAAAUGCAGAGCUCACCAACCUUAAAAACUGAAAAGCCGCGACAACACCCUUUCAGAGACCAGGUUCAUGACAGUGGACCACAAUUCCAACAGGUAUCGGAAAGUCAGACCGAGACCCUAGGGGUCACCAUUUGCGAUCUGGUAGUAUCUCACUAUGCCAGGACUUCAAUAAUGUCACGUCCUCCUUACUCCCUCGCUAUGUACCCUUUCCUCAUUCCUGCUGGGAAGAAGGACUCCGCGGGAGAGCAAGUGCACCAGGCUUACCUCUCGGAGCUGCUGCACGCCUCCAAAAAUCCGCAUCACACCGUCAAUCUCCUGCUCCAGGCGCCGGGCCCAGUGCUGCAUCCUGCAAUCCAGAGGAGAAAGAGACGUCAGGAGGACCUGCUGGAGCUGCAGCUGCAACAGCCAAUUCCUGGCCACCCAGGGGGACCAGGACAGCUACUCACUCAACUCAAUUUUCACCAGAUGAGGGAACAGACACAGGAACCAGAGUGAGCCUGUGAUUUUUCCCUUUGAAGUCUGGCCUGGUGGCCUAGGCUUUCCUUGCUUUGACUGGCAGCCAGGGAGGGGAGGAAAGGGCAUUGUGGAUUAGCCAAGGGAGUUAAGCAGGUUGGAAGAAGCCUGCGGGGAGACUAUUGUUCACUGUAAAGACAAGUCCUUAGAUGUGGCUGUUCUAAGCCACACGAGGACACCAGGGAGGACAGAGACAAGGCAGGUGAAGUUUGAGGAAAGGGAGGGGACACUGCUGUCACCUCCAACCCACUAUGUAAACAGGAGGAGGUAGAGGUAACCUGCCUCUUGGGCCUCACCCGAGCAGAAGACAGAGCACUUCCAACUCAGAGGGUCCUUGCCUUUCUAGUUCCCUGGUAGGAGAUGCUCAUCAGAGACCCAAGGCUGGAUGUCUACUGUGAGCCCACCCAGGGUUUCAGUACAAAUCAUCCGGUCCCUUUCUGGAGGUCUGGCAAGCACAGGCUCUGAACUGCAGGCCUGGACAGGCCUUCUGUACGCUGGUACCACCACAGGACCAUUUAAAACCAUCUCUGUCUCUCUCAGCUUCCUCUUCUGGAAUGUGGAGAUAAUUUAGGGCCGUCUCUUAGAGUGGCACAAGAAAACCUAAGACCAUGGGAAGAUGGCCAAGGAUGCUGUAACGGAGUCUCUAUAAGUGGACAAGAUGAGCAGGUGUCUGUGUGAGCUCAGCUUUACGCCCAUCUUAGCAUGCUGGAGCCCCAUAUGGGACCCACCACAGAGACAUAAAGGAGCCAUGGGUUCACAGGCCACAGUAGACUAGGAUGAUGUCAGAAAAGUUGCAACUGUCCCCAGUACCCUCAUCAGGACCAACAGCAUCCCCUAAGGUCACCUAGGGCCAGGGCUCUCUUCUGGCUCCUUGUCCCACACUCCUCCUCAGGCCUGUGCUGGGGGGUUGGGCUCAUGCCAUUGUGUGUGCCCCGGUCGGUUGGCAUGGGAACUCAGAGCAGGAGGCGGGCAGAUCACUAAUUGCAAUUUGCCAAGCUGAAUGUCAGGACCGUGAUGGAAAAAAAAAAAAAAUCAACAUCAAAAGAAAGAGGUAUUAGCUUCAGCUUGUUGUGGGCUGAGCCACAGCCUGACUCCCCAGCUCUGUUCCCUACCAUAGAGGAAAAUCUAACCUCAAGUGGUGUAGAGGACAGGCUGUAAGCUCAGCUGCCAGCCCGGGAGAGAAAGGUACCAGAGAACAUCAGCAACUCAGCCUGACCCCCCUCCGUCUUCCAGCACUGAUAUUCUGGCCUUGGUGGUACUUGGACAAUGUGGCAGGUGGCUCUUUUGUAAUCCUGAGACUACAGACUCUUGGGGGCUAAUAACGGAACAGAGUCUCACACCGUCCUAUAUCUGGACAGGACGGGCAGGGUCAAGGACCCAGCUUCAAAAAGAUCCAUUAGCCCUGCCCUGACCCUAAACCUGACCUCGUCCAUUCAUUGGUUUAGGACACAAAAUCCCCAUCAUAAUCCUUCCUGCAUGAAUCUCCAGAAGGGCGCCCACUACGCACAAAGCACAGCUCUCUGGCUUUGAUCUUCGCAGAGGCAAACAAGGCCCCCAAAUCCCAGACGAGGAAGCUGAGACCCUAUCCAAAGUCAUUCAUCUAGGAAGGGGUGGGCACCGGACUUGUUACAGUCUUCUGGAGUCUCAGGAAAUGACACGCGGGAGCCAACCAUGUUCGGCUCUUUCCAAUUCAGCACAUCAGCUUCAGUGCUUGAAAUCGGCUGCAGUGGGGACACUUCCACCACAGGAAUAGGCAAAGGCCAGAGAUCACUGCCCCACUCCCACCCCAGCGGCACUUGGAGACGCAUUCUGAAAUUCUUUGAGAAUUUCUUACGAUGUAUUCUGGUCAUAUUUACCCCUCCACCUCCUCUCAUAUCUAUCCCUACCUCCCAACUUUAUGACAUUUAUUUGUUUGUUUGUUUAAUUUUAGGCAGGGUCUUGCUAUGCAACUCUAGCUAGCCUGGAACUUUCUAUGUAGACCAGACUGGUCCUGACGCACCUGCUUCUACUUCCUGAGCAGAGAGAUUAAAGUUGUGUUCCACCA
ensembl:antisense Gm17141 predicted gene 17141